rnacentral:tRNA from 1 species
ACCUGGCUGGCUCAGUUGGUAGAGUGUGUGACUCAUGAUUUUGAUGUCAUGAGUUCAAGCCCCAUGUUGGGCA